rnacentral:lncRNA from 1 species
AGUAAUUUUGAACUUAGAAGUCAGGAUGAUUCACACCGGAUAUAAAGAAAAUGAAUUUAUUUUUAAUUCCAACAAAAUGAAUUUAAAAAAAAAAAAAAACAUUUGUAAAUUUAGUUAUUAAAUUUAUAUGCAUUGCAUAUUUAUUUAAUUUAGCAUUCAAGUAUUUUUCAUGAAAUAUUUAUUUAGCAAACCAUGAAAUAUUUAUUACAGUCCCGAUAUAUUAUCUAUGUUCUUAAUAGCCACCCUAUAUCAUGAUUAUUUUUUUUAAGCAUACAUACCAUUAUGCAGACAAUAAAAUCCUUCCAUAUCUCAUCCUCAAUCCACUACUCAUCAAUGGUGCUACACUACUCACCAAUCCACUACUCCCACCACCAACGUUAACACCCACUACUCCCUCCCACUACACCCACUACACCCACCCCACUACUCCCACUUUUUUUUAAAAAAAACAAUCACACUUCUACACGUUAAUACCUCCACUUCGAUCAGUGUAUGCCGUUCUCAGUUUUAUUUUUAUUUCUUUCGGUCUUGUUUUCAUGAAGAUAAUCUUCUAACUUUUGCAACCCUUUCCUGCAACAACAAUUUGGCAGAAGAACUCCCAAAAUUCAAUUCCUCAAGGUUUUACCUUUCACCUCCUUUACUUGUUUCUUUAUAUUCAACAUCACAGCAGGAUAAAUUCACAAACGAAUAUACACACAUUCAUUAAAGCACCAGUAAAUUCAUCACAUCAUUUUUUUUGUAAAGAUUGUAAAAACGAACUUUUUUAAGUUGUGUAUACAAAUGAAAAUACAAGUUAUUGUAUAUUAAGAAAGCAUGAAAAUUUCGAACUUGAGCUUGGAUUGUUGAAUGUUGAUUAUUGGGGGUGUACUUGCUGUGUGUGAGUCGAGAGGUCGAGGGAGGCAGGGGCACGGCGGCUGUGCCGCUGCUGCUCGGCCACGGUUGGAGAGAAGGAGGUGGGCUGGUCGGAGCUGGUCUGGGUGGAGGGUUGAGCGGAGAACGACGGCGGCGGUGGUGGCAGUUUGGUGGCUGCUACUCGCUGGGAAUUUGAGGGCGGCGAUGGCGGUACCAUCGGCCAAGGUUGAGCCGAGGAGAGGGAGGAGCGUCGGCGGCGGCUCAGCUGCUGCCGAUCAGACCCCAGGAGAGAGAGAGAUGGGAGACGGAGUCACCGGUCGGCGGCGGCUUUUGCUGCUGCAGUCGCCGGAAGGAAAGAGAAUGGAGGGGUCGAGGGUGAUGGUGAGGAUGACAGAGCGGCGCUCGUCGCCGGGGAUGGUGGUACGCAGCCGUGAAGUCCGAGAGAGAGGGAGAAGAGGAGGGGCGUCGAGAGAGGGGCGGCGUGUGUUGGUUUGUGUGUGUGGGGGCAACCUUGAGUGAAAUAAAGUCGAGGGAGUCGGGAGAGGGGUGACCGGCGACGCCUACCGCCGGAGGAGAGAAGAGGGCGAAGGGGGGUGCCUUGCAGCGCAGCUGCUGUGUGCUGUGUGCGUGUGUUUGUUUUGUGUGUGUUCUGAAUGUGUGUGUGCGUGUGAUUAAGAGAGGGAGGAGAAAGGUAAUAGGGUUUGGGGUUUUGGGCCUGGAUUGUUGAGCUUUGGCUAUUGGGCCGGAAAAUGGAGAAGGAAAGAGUGAAUGGGCUUAAGUUGUUGGGUCGAUUUUUAAUUUUAUUUAGCUGGGCCCGAUUUAUUUUAUUCAGUCUGGGCCAUUCCUAUUUUAUUGAGUUGGGCCUCAUCUUUUAAUUGGUAUGGGCUAUUAUUUAUUUAAGCAUGGGCUCUAUUUCAUCUAUUUAAAUGGCUUCCUUUAUUUUAUUUUAAUUAAUAGACUAAUAAUUAGUUUGAUUAAUUUAUUUUAAAGAAGAUUUGCAUAAUAAUAUAUAUUAUUAUUAUGUGCAUAUUUUAAGUAAAUUACUUAUUAUAUGCUUAAGUAUGAAAUGAUGCAUAUGCAUUUGCAUCAUGAUUUAAUUGGUUUUUAUUAUAAUUCCAAUUAUUAAAGAAAGUCGAGUAAGAAUAUUGUUGGUGUUCUUAACUCAAGAGAAUUGUUUUCAAUUAUUUAUUCAUUAAAUUUUGAAAACCCGGCUAAGUGAAUCAUAGAAUAUUAAGCACUACACCAUGACUUAAGAUUAGAUUCAAGAGACCUAUUAAGAAUAGAUUUCUUGUAGGCUUUGAGCAUCAGGAGGAUUAGCACUGCUAUUCCGAUUCAGAUAUAAGGUUAAACGACAGGCUUUGCCUA